UAAGGAAUAUUGGUCAAUGGGCGAAAGCCUGAACCAGCCAUGCCGCGUGCAGGAUGACGGCCCUAUGGGUUGUAAACUGCUUUUAUCAGGGAAGAAACCCCUUUACGUGUAGAGGGUUGACGGUACCUGAAGAAUAAGGAUCGGCUAACUCCGUGCCAGCAGCCGCGGUAAUACGGAGGAUCCAAGCGUUAUCCGGAUUUAUUGGGUUUAAAGGGUGCGUAGGCGGCCUAUUAAGUCAGAGGUGAAAGCCCGGAGCUUAACUCCGGAACUGCCUUUGAUACUGAUGGGCUUGAAUAUAGUUGAGGUGGGCGGAAUGUGUCAUGUAGCGGUGAAAUGCUUAGAUAUGACACAGAACACCAAUUGCGAAGGCAGCUCGCUAAACUAUUAUUGACGCUGAGGCACUAAAGCGUGGGGAUCAAACAGGAUUAGAUACCCCCGUAGUCC
rnacentral:rRNA from 1 species